rnacentral:misc_RNA from 1 species
AUCAUUACAGAGUUGUAAAACUCCCAAACCCUUGUGAACAUACCUGUCAAUAGUUGCUUCGAUGGGCGGCCCCAGGGCGGGGCCUCAGCCUCUCAGCGAGGUGCUCAUCGGAGGUUUUUACAAACUCUUUUGUUUUUAGCGGUCUCUCUGAGUACCUAUAUAAUAAGUCAAAACUUUCAACAACGGAUCUCUUGGUUCUGGCAUCGAUGAAGAACGCAGCGAAAUGCGAUAAGUAAUGUGAAUUGCAGAAUUCAGUGAAUCAUCGAAUCUUUGAACGCACAUUGCGCCCGCCAGUAUUCUGGCGGGCAUGCCUGUUCGAGCGUCAUUUCAACCCUCAAGCACUGCUUGGUGUUGGGGCCCUACCGCCGCGCGGUAUGCCCUGAAAACUAGUGGCGGGCUCGCCAUGAUUCCGAGCGUAGUAGUUAUAUCUCGCUUAGGACGUGUGGCGGGUUCUUGCCGUAAAACCCCCUAUUUUAUUAAAAGGUUGACCUCGGAUCAGGUAGGAAUACCCGCUGAACUUAAGCAUAUCAAUAA